rnacentral:snRNA from 1 species
UUAGAAUACAUUUUUAGUGAAAGA